rnacentral:lncRNA from 1 species
AGCCAGAACCUGGAAGCAACCUAGAUGCCCCUCAACUGAAGAAUGGAAAGAGAAAAUGUGGCACAUUUAUACAAUGGAGUGCUACUCAGCAGAAAAAAAGCAAGGGAAACUUGAAAUUCGCAGGCAAAUGGAUGGAACUAGAGGAAACCAUCCUGAGUGAGGUAACCCAGUCACAAAAAGACAAACAUGAGCCCUCACCCAGUGGCUGAAGGAAGCAGAGACAGACAUCCACAGAUAUACACUGAGCCGAAAUCGGGAAUUUAGUUGAAGAGAGGGAGGAAUGAAGAAAGAAGGGGUCUGUACCAGGUUGGAGAAACCCACAGGAACAGUUGACCUGAACAAGGGAGAGCACAUUGACCCCAGAUGCUGUCCGGGAGGCCAGUACAAGACUGAUCCAGACCCCUGAACAUGGAUGUCAAUAAGGAGGCCUCUGCACUCCAGGGAGCCUCUGGUGGUGGAUUAGUAUUUUUCCCUGGUGCAAGAAGGGACUUUGAGAGCCCAUCCCACGUGAAGGGUUACACUCUGGCCCUGGACACAUGGGGAAGGGCCCAGGACCAGCACAGGAAGACUUGGUGGACUUUGCAGAGCCCCAGUUGAGGGCCCUACCCUGCCUGGGGAAUGGUGG